GCCGGGAUGGCAGAGCAGUUAUGCAGCGGACUGCAGAUCCGCGGAGCGGGGUGCAAAUCCCUGUCCCGGCU
rnacentral:tRNA from 1 species